GACGAACGCUGGCGGCGUGCUUAACACAUGCAAGUCGAGCGGAAGGGCGCUGCGUUUGUGUGGUUCUCGAUUGGCGAACGGGUGAGUGAAACGUGAGUAACCUCCCCUUGACUUUCGGGUAACAUCACGGGAAUCGGGCGAAUACCGGAGAGGAGCUCCUGCUGCAUGGUGGUGGUUGGAAAGAUUCGGCGGUUGGGGAUCGACUCGCGGCUUAUCAGCUUGUUUGUGUGGUAGGUGCGGACCAAGGCUUUGACGGGUAGCCGGCCUGAGAGGGUGACCGGCCACAUUGGGACUGAGAUACGGACCAGACUCCUACGGGAGGCAGCAGUGGGGAAUAUUGCACAAUGGGCGGAAGCCUGAUGCAGCAACGCCGCGUGCGGGAUGACGGCCUUCGGGUUGUAAACCGAUUUCGCCGGUGCCGAAGAGUGAGUGACGGUAAUGGGUAAAGAAGCACCGGCUAACUACGUG
rnacentral:rRNA from 1 species